rnacentral:rRNA from 1 species
CUGGCCGUAAACGAUGAAUGCUAGGUGUGAGUGUAGAGAUACAUUUGUGCCGGAGUUAACGCGAUAAGCAUUCCGCCUGGGGAGUACGGUCGCAAGAUUGAAACUCAAAGGAAUUGACGGGGGCCCGCACAAGCGGUGGAGCACGUGGUUUAAUUCGAUGCAAACCGAAGAACCUUACCUGGGUUUGACAUGUACGUGGUACUGACCUGAAAGGGGAGGGACCGUGCCUUCGGGCAGGGAGCGUACACAGGUGC